rnacentral:rRNA from 1 species
UACGAAGGGUGCAAGCGUUAAUCGGAAUUACUGGGCGUAAAGCGCGCGUAGGUGGUUCAGCAAGUUGGAUGUGAAAGCCCUGGGCUCAAACCUGGGAACUGCAUCCAAAACUACUGAGCUAGAGUACGGGUAGAGGGUAGUGGAAUUUCCUGUGUAAGCGGUGAAAAUGCGUAGAUAUAGGAAGGAACACCAGUGGCCGAAGGCGACUACCUGGACUGAUACUGACACUGAGGUGGCG